CGUAUGUACUCGAGAUUCGUAGGGUCCGCUGGUUGCAUGCGAAUUUGUGAGUUGUAGUUGUCACACUUGUAAAAUGUAUCAUUUUUUGGAGUUGGUGAAACGAAUAGAAAAGAAGUGAUAUUUUUAAAAAUUCUCACUGGUCAUUGAGAAUUAAAGUUAAAGGCAUUUACAGCACGAAAGAAAGUGGAUCUUCACCGUUCCAUUCUUUUAUUUUAUUUUUUUUUUUUUUUCGUUUUCCAAUAAUUUACGAGCAGCGAUUGACUUUUAAGAUAGAAUCAUCGCACGGUAACCUUAAUUUUAUAGAGAAUAUAGCGUCUUCGCUAUAGUUGCUUAUGUUUGUCGAAAAUUUAUCAGGCUUCCAUAUCUUCUGAUUUAUUAACAGCUAUAUAAUGACGGCAAUAAAUGUGAAUUGGUUGCAUUCUGUGGAGGGAGAGUCACUAAUGCAUCAUUUCUAUGUAAACACAUCAAAGAAAAGGAGAUUUUAUGGUAUUCUCGAAAGACCUCCCCUACCAUCUUCAAUCGAAGAAGUUACAUAUAAAAUUUUUAUGGUUGGGAGAUCUGGAGUAGGAAAAACUGCUGUUGUAGCUCGCCUUGCUGGAGUACUAGAGUCCAGUAAUUAUACCGAAACUAAUGGGAUAAAAAAGACGAAUGUAUUUUGGCCGGUUAAGAUAUGGGACAAAGUUGUGUUGUUUAAAUUACAGUUCUGGGAUACCUCGGAAACAAGCAUUAAAAAAUAUAAUCACAUAUUACCCGCUUGUAAAGACAAAGUAGAUGCUAUAUGUUCUGUAUUUUCUUUCGAUGAUGCAACAGGAUUCAAUGACGUUCCAUAUUUGAUGAAUACUAUGGCAGCUAUAAAAGAAAAACCAGCAAAUAUAGUGAUAGGGACAAAAUUUAAGCCAUGGUCGAGUUCUACAAUAGAAGACACGCGUAUAAAAGAAUUCGAAGACAAAUGGAAAGUUAAAGUUAUUAGAAUUGAUAUUAAUAAACCUUCUAUGAGAUCUGAAGUGUUUGAUUGUUCUUAUCAGUUGAAUACUAUAUGUAACAUUCUUUGGAAUAGGGAUAAAGAAUUUAUAUCGAAACAAAUGGGACAAAGCUAGCAAAUUUUUUAUUGGAUUUCUAUAAUACUCCGAAACAUUUUUUAUACGAGAUUUAAUAAAGGGUAAGAAAUAUUCUCAACAUCUCAACACAAUGUAUCUAGGAGUUCUAGGCGAGUAAAUGUUGUCAGUACUGAAAGCUAAAUUCACGAGCGUUACGCUUGUUUGUUACAAUUACUGGCGGCAAAGUUACCGAUAUACCGAU